GAAGAAAGGUUUAUAUGUAGAAAGGUAUAUGUAUUUAGAGAGAGAGAGAGACUUGCAGAUUUCUUUUUGGGAAGAAAGGUAAAAGAACAAAAUGACAAGGCAGAGAUGAAACAGAGAUUAGGAGGUGUUUGGGUGUAACAGUUGGAAGGAGGGUGUUAAGGGUGUUAUGGUCAUUUAAUAUAAUAUUUUGUGUCAUGUGACAAGCACGCAUGUCGUCGGAUGGGACAAAUUGCAAUAAAAAUGUACAGUCCAGGAGAUUUCUUGGAAUUUUUAUGGUUCAAGGUUUCUUGCAAAUAGUUUUGUUUUUUUUUUUUUUUUGGGCAUACCCUAUUCUGAAUUCGAAGAUCGAAGAAGAAGAAAUGUAUGCGAUAUUCAGUUGGAAAUUCGAAGAUUGAAGAAGAAGAAAUGUAUGCGACAUUCAGUUGGAAGGAAAAACCACCACUCACACUCUUCUCCAACUCGCAUCCGCCAAUCGAUUCUAGGGUUUCAAGAGAGGCACAAAUGGGAUGGAAGUUCCGACGAAUACGAUCACAUUCGCGCCGUUGUGAAUUGCCCUCGGUGUUCCAAGCUAACGAACGUCCUCUUCUCGAACCGUCCGUUGUCGAUCACUGGUGGAGACUGGUAUAUACCAAGCCCUCAAUCUCUGACCUAAUUGCAGGACCGCCUUCUAUUUCAGGCCGUUCAAGUUGGUUCCGUUGCAGGGGAGUUUCGUAGAGAUUGGUAGGGUUAAAGGGAAGGAGAAAGAUGGAAAUGUUUGCACAGAUGGUGACGAAAAUAGGAAAGUAGGAGCCAAGAUUAGGGAGAAAUUGAGGAUAGGGAUACGGUGGAGGAUUUCCCCGGCGAGUCCAAUUGGGACUGACAUGCAGACACCGGUGGCAUGAUGAUGUGGUGCGGACGGGGAGUGGUGGGUCGGGUGGUAGUGGUGAUGGCUGUUCUAGAGAGAGAAAUGGUUGGGUGGGUCGAAUACGGGGAAGGACUUCUCUACUCCAAAGGGCAAGGGACUCGAUGAGUUCGUCAUUGGGCAGGAAAGAGGAACUUCAUAAGUGGUGAAUUUUUAACAAGAACAAGGAUUGAUGGGUUUGAGGAAUGCAAAUUUUAAUUUAAUCUUUUUAAAUCAUACUCUAGAUUUUGAUUGAAAUUGUGUCAUUUCUGCAAUGGAGAGAAUUGCAUGCUGUUUAUUGAUAUGCAUUUCUACAAUGAACCAGGGGUAUUCCAAGAUUAUUAUUCCUUAUGUCUUUAUUUGUGGUUCUGGAAUUUUCAUUAAAAAAUGUGCAAAUGGAGUUUAGUUUGUUAUUGAAUUACUUGUGCAUUACUUAAGAGUUACAGAACUUUUGGUUGAAACAAUUUGCUUUCCAUGGCAGGUGUUUUUUGUGGCAGUUUACAACCACUACAAAAGAAUACAUCAUGCUGCCUUGCAUAAAGAUUGAUUGAGUUCCCAACAGUGUUUCAGCCAAUUCAAUUUAGUUGCAGUUGUUAUUAGAAGUAACCAAAAUGGCAAAACCAAUGCAACAAUUUGUUUUGUUUUUGUUUUUUGUGUUCAAUAUAAAAUAUAAACCUUUUUAUUAGAAAUAUAAAUGAGGUACCGAAUAGUUGCUACUAUGUUCUUUAUUUAUGUACAUUACUUGUUACACAUUUCAUUUCCAAGAACGUGAUAUUUUUGCAUGAUAUCUUCUAACUAAAAAAUACUGUGUAAGUUCAACCAUGUUUAUGAAGCAUGGUAUGAUAACGAUACACAGUAUGAAAAAUGCAAGAAAAAGACUUUUAAUUGAACAUUUGAAAUUUGUGGUUCAUACUAAUAACACUCUUUUUUGUUCCUUAGUCCAUUGUGUAUUCAAAGUGAUUGAUGUACGCGGUUGUGAUUAUCACUGUUGAUUUCAAUACCAGGUCAGGUGCUGAAUUUUGCAAGGCUGAUGUUGAAAAUGAUGAUAAUGAUUUUGUUGAGCUAGAGAAGAGCAAUGUGUUACUGAUGGGUCCAACAGGCUCAGGUCCUCACGGAGCCCAAAAAUGCUCUUGGUAAAUAGUACAAGAAAAUGUUCAGCAUGAACAAUAUGAAGUGGCCUUCUUUGUGGUAAAAUGUUCUAUAAUGUGGCUUGUCAAUUUACAUUUCUCGGAUAAUGCACUGAGGUUAAUUGCAAAGAAAGCAAUGUUAAGAACACUGGUGCCCAAGGUUUAAGAACCAUAUUAGAAAAUAUACUUACAGAAGCCAUGUUUGAGAUUCCUGAUGCCAAAACAGGACAAAAUAACCAUAGAUGCAGUUCUGGUUGAUGAAGAGGCUGUAGGAUCGGUGGACAGACCGUGAUGUGGAACAAAAAUUCUCAGUGGAGAUGAUAUAUCUGACCCGCCUUUCCACUUAAGAAAUUUUAAAGAUCCCAUGGAAAAAGGCAUGGCUGCUGGUGGGGCGUUAGAAGAAGACUUAGAGCUCUCAUCAAGAGCCGUUUGCUUGUGACCUUAGUUUUUUGGGCAUUUGUAAAGUCUUGUAAUAAUAUUUAUUAUAGUUGUGAAAUAACCAAGUCUAUUUGGGAUAGUGUUUUUGAAAA